UACGUAGGUGGCAAGCGUUGUCCGGAUUUAUUGGGUUUAAAGGGUGCGUAGGUGGUCUAUUAAGUCAGUGCUGAAAUAUCCCGGCUUAACCGGGAGGGUGGCAUUGAUACUGAUGGACUUGAGUAAAGUUGAGGUUGGCGGAAUUGACGGUGUAGCGGUGAAAUGCUUAGAUAUCGUCAAGAACACCGAUAGCGAAGGCAGCUUACUAGGCUGUAACUGACGCUGAGGCACGAAAAGUGUGGGGAUCAAACAGG
rnacentral:rRNA from 1 species